rnacentral:lncRNA from 1 species
CCGCAUUAUUAUUUUUUUUUUAUAUAUUCUUUCAUUUACUUUCCGUGAAUAUAAGUACGUAUACUAAUAUAUCCAUAUUGAUGGUUACAUAUGAAAUAACGAAUCGCUAUGUUUCAAUCAUUAUAUAGUAAUUCGGGUGUGUCAGUUUCAUUUUCGAUCCCCGUGUUUAUCUCGAGGUUAAACAAUAAUCUUAAUCUAUAUAUAUCGAUAUUUUAAGUACAACUCUUGUCUGGAUGUUUGGACAAAUAAUGAAGCUUGAUGUCGCCAGACAUGAGUACGUCUGCUAGAAGGACAUACAUUGGAACAUAAGAUAUUUAUACGAUAAACGAAGGAAAGGUUUGUACCAAAUACACCCUUUCUGUACAUCAAAUGAAGGUAUGACUGUCUCAAUUAAAGAAAUUAGCUUUGAGAAUAAACAAGAGUUGAAAGUCGAUAGAAAGAAAGUUCCCUUGUCCUCUUCAUUCGCAUCCUAGCCAUUGAAGAGAAAUGUCGUUUCAGCCUACAUCAAGUACUCCGAAUGUGGAAUGGCUGAGCGUCAAUUUUAUCUUUACACCUGAAUGAUGAAUGUAUGCAAUAUACUACGGUUACGGUUACUCUCUAUUUCAAUUUUACAUCAAGUGAUAUAAUCUCAUAUUCAUUUACACAAUAACUUGUCGUUUAAUAUUUUUUAAUUUAUUUCAGACUAAUACUGAUCUGAGGAGAAGGCUGUGGACGAGAGAAACACCAUCGUACAUAGGGGAGAGUGUAAAUGAUGAAGCAGUGAGUAGCUAUUAUUUUUUUUUAUUUCAUUUUUUUUAAACUCCAAAACAAACAAAAAAAAAACGAACAGAAAAAAAACCUAGAGUUAUUGUUCUACAUGUUAAAUAAGGGUAAUAACAAAAUUACCGAACACCAAUCAAAUCCAUAAUCGAGCAGAAUAAGUCCAAACAAAACUGACAAAAUAGGUAUACAAUCAUUG